UGGGGAAUCUUGCACAAUGGGGGAAACCCUGAUGCAGCGACGCCGCGUGAGCGAUGAAGCCCUUCGGGGUGUAAAGCUCUGUGGGGAGGGACGAACCGCUGGGUAUUAAUACCAUCCAGCAUGACGGUACCUCCUUAGCAAGCACCGGCUAACUUC
rnacentral:rRNA from 1 species